CAUGUUCUAAAGCAUUGAGGCUUUGUUGAGUGUGUCUUUGCAGUCUGUUCCAGUCUCAGAAUAGUUAUUUUCCACCGUAUGUGUUGGUUUAUCGACAAUUUUUAUCGCGCUGCCUUUGGCUGCUGAGAGCCAUCAAUCACUAAAAUAAUUUUGCUCAUUUAGCAAGUGCUAAAGAAGGUCAGAAUGAACGAAUGACCUUUUUAUGCUGGAAAUUACAUAUGUUGACAAAUUUAAGUCAUCACUUGGACAGGUAACAGAUGUUUGUUGAUUGUUGCUGCACUGACAACAGAUAAAACUGUUCCGUUUUGAAAUAUAGAUCAUGCUAUUACUGCGAACAACCCAGAAUCAUUUUUUAAUGUUUUCUUAAUUGAUGAGUGCACAGAGUGAUUUAGUAGCUAGCUCAACUUUUGAGAAACUCUCUCUGACCCUAUUUCCUUUCAGAAAUUGGUGUCUCAUGUCAAGCACACACAAGAAAAGGCGAUGCAGCAUUUGCAGCACAUCACUUCACGGUAUAUGUGAAAGCAUACUUCGGCAAAUAAGGAAUACAUCAGAAGGACACCACGGGACGCUUCAGAGUCUGGAUGUACCAUAUCUGAUGGAAAUCUUGCACCACAGAGGCUGCUCGAUGGAUGGAUGGAUUACAACCCUGAUGAAGCAGCGAAGUUCAAGGGAACAACAGGUGCACGACACUAUCAUUGCUGGACAAAAUUGAGGUUGAACAGAAAGAUGCCGCACAGGGAACGAGCAUGUCACUCAAACUGUUUGACCGGAAAACCUGGAGCAAGAGGAAACUUCCGCACAAGACUACAAAAAAAAGUAGACUUAGAAGUCCAUGUAUACGGGAGAGCACCUUUGUUGGAAGAGGCUUGUCGGCCGACACUGUUAUUUCGUACUUAAAUAUAUUUUAUCUAUUUAUAUUACUACACAACAAAAUCAGCCAAUUUCAGGUAUGCAAAGGAAGGACAAGUGCACACCACGCAUUCCAUCACUUAUAUUGUGCCCUGGUUCAUUUCAAAACCUGCACCGGUUGUCAUGCCUCCCUACAUGCCAUCACACACAUUGCGUUCUGUUGUUGACAGUAAGAUUUUAUGAAUCUUGUUUGCUCAUCAUGUUGUAGAGGCAGUGAAACCUCCCUAGUACCGACGUUCGUGGGACCAACGCUUUAGUUCGCAAGACAGAGGUGUCCGCAUGUGAGAGAUACAAGACAUUAGGGCCGUUACUUUACGCCAGGAAUUGUACAUAUAAUAAUAGCCUGAAGUGUUGAAAAUAUCUCGAAGAAGUUUUGAAGAAAUCUCGUAAAUAAACAUGUGCUCUAAAUUCAUGCGAAAUCGAGUGGAAAAACUUCCAAUACGUUAAAUGCUCAAUUCGGGGAGAAAUUGGGCUCAGCUACUCAAAAACUAGCUCUACUGGUUCGGUACAAAUGGUUAUGUAAUUGCUGCCAAACAAGUUAGUGUGCAUUCCUACAGAUAUCUCAGUGAGGGCAAUUUGACGGGUAAAAAUCGGAUUUCACCGUAAAAAGGACACCUUGAAUUGGCGGAAGAAUCCGGUUAAACCCUGAAACUAAUAAUUAUGCACCUUAUGCAAAAAGUUCAAACUAGCCUUGUUAGAGAGAGGCGAUAAAGUACCCAAAAUGUGACUGCCUUCUCCAUGAGGGAUAUACCAUGGUCUGUCGAUACCAAGUCACCAUGUUAACAGUAAUUGUUUUGCUGUAGCUGCUUGUGCCAAAAUCACUUGCCAUAUGUAUUUUUCUGUCAUGUGCCAUUUAUAAUUGCUGAACAAACUGGCAUGUAUGAGUCUCACUGAUUGCAUUUCGCAUUGUACUGUGGAUUCCAAAAAUUAAUUUUGAACCUGCGAUAUCAUGAGUACCCGUGUAAGCUGCCUGUGCCUGCUUCCUGCCUUCACCAACAGAGGGGCACGGAUCACUGCAACGUAUCAUGUCAAUAUUUCUCGGUCCACAUUCAGUUUCUGAGGGUCGAAAAGACUAGGUGCACUUGUGGAGCCUUCAUUUACCCUGUUUGGCCGGACUCCAGCAUUCGCAGCCAAAACGUCUGGGUGGCGGGCAACAGACAUGUACAAUACAAUAUGGGAUACAAACAAAACGCAAUCAUUGUUUGUAUCUUGGCUGAAGUACAUGGUGUACUGUAUUCCAAUUGGCAAAUUGUAUGCAUUGCAAUAGCUCGUGUUACAUCAGCCUCUGAGUCUACGGGCACUUCAUGCAACGUAUUCAAAAGCAACGAAGGAUUGUGUGUCCAAUAUUUUCUUUCGUUGAUACUCACUAUGUGUACAAAUUCCAGAUUCACCUUGGGGUUGACAGUUUUGUUCCUGAGAACUUCAUGUGCGUACAGCGGGGCACAAUCAACAACAAGUUAGUCAACAAUUUGAUGCAGCCUUUCUGGACACAAGAUGGAACGGCGACUAGUUGCUUUUCAGGGCAACCGUAGCAGAGAGCAGGCAUUCAUGCGCUCGUCACAGGCAACACCAGAGAAGCUGGACUCCAUUACAUAAAUGGCAUGCCACAUUGAGGGCCAC